UUCCGGUUGAUCCUGCCGGAGGCGACCGCUUUGGGAGUUCGAUUAAGCCAUGCGAGUCGUGAGUCUUAGGGACUCGGCAUACUGCUCAGUAACACGUGGAUAACCUGCCCUAUCGUCUGGAAUAACCUCGGGAAACUGAGAAUAAGGCCGGAUAGUUCACAAUGCCUGGAACGGUUUGUGAAUCAAGGUAGGAUGGGUCUGCGGCGUAUCAGGUUGUAGGGGUGUAAAGGACCCCCUAGCCUUCGACGCGUACGGGUGUUGGGAGACAUAGCCCGGAGAUGGAUUCUGAGACACGAAUCCAGACCCUACGGGGUGCAGCAGGCGCGAAAACUUCACACUGCAGGAAACUGUGAUGAGGGAACUCCUAGUGCAUGCACUAUGUGUAUGUAGAUCCUACUCUUAACAAGUAGAGGGAAAGGGCUGGGAAAGACCGGUGCCAGCCGCCGCGGUAAUACCGGCAGCUCAAGUGGUCGUCGCUUUUAUUGGGCCUAAAACGUCCGUAGCCUGUUUGGUAAAUCUGUGGGUAAAUCAACCUGCUCAACGGGUUGAAUUCUGCAGAGACUGCCAGACUAGGGACCGGGAGAGGUGUGGGGUACUCGAGGGGUAGGGGUAAAAUCCUGCCAUCCUUUGAGGACCACCAGUUGCGAAGGCGCCACACUGGAACGGAUCCGACGGUCAGGGACGAAGCCUAGGGGCACAAACCGGAUUAGAUACCCGGGUAGUCCUAGGUGUAAACGCUGUGAACUUGGUGUCGGGGAUCCAUAAGGGGUCCCCGGUGCCGGAGUGAAGAUGUUAAGUUCACUGCCUGGGGAGUACGGUCGCAAGGCUGAACUUAAAGGAAUUGGCGGGGGAGCACUGCAACGGGAGGAGCGUGCGGUUUAAUUGGAGUCAACGCCGGA
rnacentral:rRNA from 1 species